rnacentral:rRNA from 1 species
UACGUAGGGGGCGAGCGUUGUCCGGAAUCAUUGGGCGUAAAGAGCGUGUAGGCGGCUUGGCAAGUCUGACGUGAAAUCCCGCGGCUCAACCGCGGUAGGUCGUUGGAAACUGCCUCGCUAGAGUCCGGAAGAGGAGAGCGGAAUUCCUGGUGUAGCGGUGGAAUGCGCAGAUAUCAGGAAGAACACCCGUGGCGAAGGCGGCUCUCUGGGACGGUACUGACGCUGA